CCACCAUCAAGUAGCCUUCGAAACACGUGAAUUUUUGUUGGUCAAAUGUGUCCGUGCUUUUAAAGAAGAAGACAGAACAUACUGCACCUUGUGGAGAUUAUGCUGGUUCUUCCCAUCUCAGCUUCCUAGUGUGAGAGGGGAUUCCCGCAUCAGAAAUUGACAAAAUCUCAUCAAAAAAUCCAUGUGAAGCAGUCUACAUGUCUCAACAACAAAGGAGCUCAUCAGAAUCAGCUUUGAAGUACGCUCUCUGGCAAGCUUUGUGAAGAAGUGCCUGUCUUCUAAAUGUUCAAGAAGACCAUUCAACAAAGGCUGGGCUGAAACCGUAAACUAGGAAGCUGAUUGUGGACUAACAUCUUUUGUUUGACAGUGUUUGAUGAAGCAGUGCGCAUGCAUGUUUUCUUGUUCAAUGUUAAAUUAUUGUAUAAUGUUACAGUACAAAAAAUGUUUUCCUGUCUGUGCCCCAAAUUUUUUGACUGCGCCCCUAUUUAAAAAAAAAAGAUUUAGGGGCACACGUGCUCCUGAAAAAAAUAAGCAUAGAGCCCUGAUGAUAACCCUUAAGUUAUUGUUACUAGCUCGUAUUGUCACUAAUGGUUACUAUCCAUAUUCACACAUAUUUUAAAUCAUGUUGCCUGUAUAACCCUCCCCUCCAUCUGUAUUUUAAAACCUUAAAACAUAUUCUACAUUGAAAAACAAUUUGUUUAAUAUGGUUUUUCCACCAAAAACUGUUCAAUAAACUACUGAAAAUGG